rnacentral:sRNA from 12 species
CGCCUAAACCCAUAAAUCUUGGGCAUGGCGCAAAAACCUUUCACAGAUAUUAAGCUCGUCGUCAGAGCAUCUGUGAAAGGUCAUAUCUCGAAAGGGGUAUGGGUGGUCGCAAGGCCAUC